rnacentral:rRNA from 1 species
GAUCAUGGCUCAGGACGAACGCUGGCGGCGUGCUUAACACAUGCAAGUCGAACGAGAAUCUACUGAAAGAGUUUUCGGACAAUGGAUGCAGAGGAAAGUGGCGGACGGGUGAGUAACGCGUGAGGAACCUGCCUUGAAGAGGGGGACAACAGUUGGAAACGACUGCUAAUACCGCAUGACGCAUAGGGGUCGCAUGAUCUUUAUGCCAAAGAUUUAUCGCUUCAAGAUGG